rnacentral:lncRNA from 1 species
UCCAAAACUAUCUUCAAGUAUUCAAAGUAUUCUUCGAAUCUUCAAGGCGAUCUUCAAGCAUUCAAGACGAUCUUCAAGUAUCCAAAGCUAUCUUCAAGUAUUCAAAGUAUUCUUCGAAUCUUCAAGGCGAACUUAUAGUAUUCGAGGUGAUCUUCGAGUAUUUGAGGUGUUCUUCGUGCAAAUCAUCACGAACUAAAUCAAAUCAAAUCAAUUUUGACGUUCAAAUCAAAAAUCAUUACUUGAGUCCUUCGGAUUGACGUUAUCAAAUCAAGAAUUUCAUAAAUUUUUGAGAUUGCUCGCGAAUCAAAUGAAAAAAAUGAAUCAGAGGAUCAACUAAAGAAUCGCAACCCACAUAAAUCUAUGUUCAAGUUUAUCAAUUUAUCUUUGUAGCAUAUUAUUUUAUUUUAUUAAAUUGAAAUACAAAAAUAUGUGUUUACAAUUGCAUAAGUCAUAACCACACACUUGUACGAAUUCGUUCAUCACAAGUCCUUUUAAUUAAUGAUGAAUGUUGACCACCAAUGUUAAAGUUGGGGGCUACCAAUUAAAAAGACGUGAUAAAGAAUGAAAUCCAUUUGAUUUGGUCUUAUUGAUAUAACACAAUCACAUAAAAAUAGGUAAUUAGCUAACACAUUGUUAACUAUCCUGUUUUUAAUUACUUACUGCUCUAAACCCAUGAAUGGGGAAAUUCUAAUUUGUCGUAUGAACUUUAAAAUUUGAAUGAUAAUAUUUGAAGUUUCAUUUUUUUUCUCCAUUUAAUUUUUGAAGCUGAUUUGGCGAAAUAAAAAUAAUAUGGAUAUCAAAACAAUCAAAACAAUGUCGUUUUAAUUGCCACAUUAUUUAAAAAAUUAUUAGUUUUUCUUUUCAAAUUAAUAAACAUCUUCUCUCCCCAUUAGUUACCUAUUGUUUUAAUUGGAGAACUGAUAUUCUUCACAUGCUAUUAUCUAUUAGCACUCAUAUUCUCGAGACUUAAAGUUUAAUGCAACGAGACUCAUAGUGAUCGAUACUAGGUUAGCGUUCAUCACUAGCUCAAUCAUUUCAUGCUAUUUUUUAAUUAAUUAAAUACAACCAUAUAGUUGAGAGCUUCGCGACUAAUGUUAACAUAAUCAGAUAAUUAUAUAUUUUCUUUGUCCCACCUUCAUAUUCCACUUUACUAUUUUACACAUAUUCGUCUUUGAUGGAUUGAAAUUUUAGGAUAUCCCAAAAUUCUUGAUUAUUUUUAUCAUUCGAGCUAGUUUUAUUUGUUUUUUUUUAUCCCUAUUCACGACGCCUAUAGUAUAAGAAAUGUAUGUGAAUUUUUACAAAUUGAUGAUGAUAUAUAAUUUCUUUUUUUUUAUUCUUUUUUUUUGUAGAAUGGAUGAGUUUUUUUCGAAAUGUUUUAAUGGUGGCGGCAAUAAUAAGUUGUGUCUCCCAAAGACAUGUCUCCCAUGAAAGUCCUCGAAAAUACCAAUAUUUUCUUUUAUGAUGAAGAAAAACGUAUUAAGGGUAACACAAAAGCUAUCCAGCCAUAAUAUAGCCAACCAUAGAAGAGUAUUUUAGUAAUGUUUGAGAAAUAUAGUGAAUAAAAUAAUUCAGUUACUUUAAUACGCUAAUCUUAAAUUACAUAUAUAACUUUUCUAUUUUUCAUCCGAAAUUAAAGAGAGAAACCUAUAAAAUUGAUAUAUGUACUGAAUUCUUAAUUUAAUAUAUAUUUAUUAAGUACCAAAAUGCAUAUGAACUAUUCGACUACUUUAGUGGCUAUAGUCUCAAAUAUCAUUUAUAUUGUUGGCCACUUUUGUAGUCGGCCACUUUUGUAUUAUAAGCUAUCCGACCAUUUUAGUGAACAAUAAGAAAAAAGACAUACAAACGCAAAUGUAAUACAAAUACAAACAUUUAACUUUUUAUUUGAAAUUUUAAAUUAUUAUGAAUUUGUCAUAUGAUGUAUGUCGUCAAAAGACAUCUGAUGUAUGUCGUCCUAAAAUGUCAUUCAUAUUGCUGGCCACUUUUGCAGUGGUCACUUCUUGUCCAUUUAAACACAAUACGAGUUGCAUAUUAAAUCGCAAAAUUAAAGCCAUAUUGAAUCGCAAAUUUAAUGAACAUUAAAUUUGAAACAGAUGCAAAGCUAUUUACUGGUACUAACUAAAUCGAUUUUAGGCCUAAUAAACUCUAAUCAAGAGAAAACGUAGCAUAUUUGUAUCAGGCAAAUACUAACUAAAUCGGUUUUAGGGCAUAAUAAAAUCUAAUCAAGAGAAAAAUUAAUUCAGCAAAUAAGAUUAGGCCUAAUAAACUCUAAUCAAUUCGGCAAAUUCGAUUUGCUACUGUGUAUUCUUCAUCUUUUAUCUAACUAAUUUAAAAAAAAACACUUAGCAGUAUCCUGUACUUAAUUUUUAAAACUAUUUGAUAUUUUCUAUGAGAACUUGCACAAACUCAAAUUAGAGAAAAUAUAGGAUAUCUAAGUGGCAAAUAUUAACUAAAUCAGGUUUUAGGCCUAAUAAACCUUAAUCAGUUCGAUAAAUUAUUUCAGCAAAUUCAGUCAUGCUAAUAACAAUUUUUGAAAGAAGAAAAAAUACAUAUAUGUUGCAUUGUAUCCAAACUCGAACAAAUAACCAGGGGGCUUAGUCCACUGGCCACCGGGUCCUCACUUAAGUGAAGUGACCCGGGUUCGAUCCCUCUUGGGAACGAAUUGGUGAUUGGAGAUAUAAGGUGGAGUUUGGUGAAUGGAGAGAUAAGGUGGUUCUUGGAGUGGAUGGGGAACUAACUACUAACAUCUAACAUGACUUUGACCGAUCAAAAAAAAAAAAAAAAAAAUCCAAACUCGAACAAAUGAGUAAAAACUACAAGCCGUAAUUUACAGAAAAUCGGCAAAAAAAAAACUAAGAAAUGAGCAAAAUAAAAAAGAAAAAUAGAGAAAUGCGUGCACUCACCUUCUACUGUCAAAUACAGAGAGAUGUGUGGAUGAGGCUGUCACAUCAGAACACCAUUGAGGAACCACCUACAACAACUUUCAAUUGAGUGCUCGUGUGCAAAAGAAGGAAUGAGGAGAGCUUGAAGCUAAGGAAAAGAAAAUAUUACUCACCAAAACAGAAUGAAACAAAAUAUCUAGA